rnacentral:rRNA from 1 species
GAUGAACGCUGGCGGCGUGCCUAAUACAUGCAAGUCGAGCGAACGGACGAGGAGCUUGCUCCUCUGACGUUAGCGGCGGACGGGUGAGUAACACGUGGAUAACCUACCUAUAAGACUGGGAUAACUUCGGGAAACCGGAGCUAAUACCGGAUAAUAUAUUGAACCGCAUGGUUCAAUAGUGAAAGACGGUUUUGCUGUCACUUAUAGAUGGAUCCGCGCCGCAUUAGCUAGUUGGUAAGGUAACGGCUUACCAAGGCAACGAUGCGUAGCCGACCUGAGAGGGUGAUCGGCCACACUGGAACUGAGACACGGUCCAGACUCCUACGGGAGGCAGCAGUAGGGAAUCUUCCGCAAUGGGCGAAAGCUUGACGGAGCAACGCCGCGUGAGUGGUGAAGGUCUUCGGAUCGUAAAACUCUGUUAUUAGGGAAGAACAAAUGUGUAAGUAACUAUGCACGUCUUGACGGUACCUAAUCAGAAAGCCACGGCUAACUACGU